UACCUGCAGCUCGAGUGGUAACCGCUACUAUUGGGCCUAAAACGUUCGUAGCCGGUUUGGUAAAUGCCUGGGUAAAUCGUGUAGCUUAACUAUACGAAUUCCGGGUGGACUGCCAAACUUGAGACCGGGAGAAGCUAGAGGUACUCCUGGGGUAGAGGUGAAAUUCUGUAAUCCUGGGGGGACCACCAGUGGCGAAGGCGUCUAGCUAGAACGGGUUUGACGGUGAGGAACGAAGCCCUGGGGCGCAAACCGGAUUAGAUACCCGGGUAGUCCAGGGUGUAAACGCUGCUUGCUUGAUGUUAGUUGGGCUCCGAGCCCAAUUAGUGUCGGAGAGAAGUUGUUAAGCAAGCUGCCUGGGAAGUACGAUCGCAAGAUUGAAACUUAAAGGAAUUGGCGGGGGAGCACAGCAACGGGUGGAGCGUGCGGUUU
rnacentral:rRNA from 1 species